GUGGCCCUGAAUCAAGGCCCACAGCCCCCGCCGCUGCGGGCUUCAAGUAGGAGCCUAGAGAAAGCCUCUCUAGGGGUCUGUUGGCCAUCUUCGCAUCAGCAAUGCGAUGGUCAAUUCAUCAGAAAGGAACGGUG